rnacentral:rRNA from 1 species
GCUACACACGUGCUACAAUGGCAGAUACAGAGGGAAGCGAGACAGUGAUGUGGAGCGGACCCCUUAAAGAAUGUCGUAGUCCGGAUUGGAGUCUGCAACUCGACUCCAUGAAGUCGGAAUCGCUAGUAAUCGCGUAACAGCAUGACGCGGUGAAUACGUUCCCGGGCCUUGUACACACCGCCCGUCACACCAUGGGAGUGGAUUGCACCAGAAGUAGUUAGUCUAACCUUCGGGAGGACGAUUACCACGGUGUGGUUCAUGACUGGGGUGAAGUCGUAACAAGGUAGCCGUAGGGGAACCUGCGGCUGGAUCACCUCCUU